rnacentral:rRNA from 1 species
GUGCCAGCAGCCGCGGUAAUACGUAGGUGACAAGCGUUGUCCGGAUUUACUGGGCGUAAAGAGCGCGCAGGCGGUCGAUCAAGUCGAGUGUGAAAGCCCCCGGCUCAACUGGGGAGGGUCAUUCGAUACUGAUCGACUCGAAGGCAGGAGAGGGUAGUGGAAUUCCCGGUGUAGUGGUGAAAUGCGUAGAUAUCGGGAGGAACACCAGUGGCGAAGGCGACUACCUGGCCUGUUCUUGACGCUGAGGCGCGAAAGCUAGGGGAGCAAACGGGAUUAGAUACCCCAGUAGUCC